rnacentral:rRNA from 1 species
GACGAACGCUGGCGGCGUGCUUAACACAUGCAAGUCGUACGGUAAGGCCCUUUCGGGGGUACACGAGUGGCGCACGGGUGAGUAACACGUGAGUAACCUGCCCACAACUUUGGGAUAACGCUAGGAAACUGGUGCUAAUACUGGAUAUGUUCUCCUGCUGCAUGGUGGGGGUUGGAAAGCUCCGGCGGUUGUGGAUGGACUCGCGGCCUAUCAGCUUGUUGGUGGGGUAGUGACCUACCAAGGCGGCGACGGGUAGCCGGCCUGAGAGGGUGACCGGCCACAUUGGGACUGAGAUACGGCCCAGACUCCGACGGGAGGCAGCAGUGGGGAAUAUUGCACAAUGGGCGCAAGCCUGAUGCAGCAACGCCGCGUGCGGGAUGACGGCCUUCGGGUUGUAAACCGCUUUCAGCAGGGACGAAGCUUUUUGUGACGGUACCUGCAGAAGAAGCACCGGCUAACUACGUG